CCUAGUUUUUUUCUUAACCGCACACGACAUACACCACCCCUCCUCUCCGUAACAACAUAGUCCACAUACCCCACUCCUCCCCUCCCUAAGAAAAUAGUUUCACUAAUGAAGUUUUUGAUCUUCUAUCGUUCUAUUAGAGAAUCCAGGGAGCAGCUCAAGAACAUAACUGAAGCACAACUUUUCUCCAGUACAGGUCAAGAAAUUUGAGAAAAAUCUGCAAUACAUGCUUCUCUCAAAUUCUGUUGGAGAUUUGGGUAUUUUUUCGUUUUGCCCAAAUCUGUGUUAACCCUAAAUUUAUCUAGCUGUAGCCCUUAGUUUCAAAUUAGGAGUGUCAGUUUGUUGGAGGGAAAUCAGCCAGAGGACAAUCAACAAACAUAUAAGAUCAAAAUGAACAAGGUACAUCAAUUUCCAUGUUUAUUAAGAAAAAUUAGGUCGAAGGUCUCUCAGUUCCUUCUAUUUAAGGAGGCAACCAGGUGUCUCUAUUUUAAUUGCAGAAAACAUUCUAAUUUUCUUAAAAGAGAACCAAUCUUCUCUUGUUACUGCUUAUCGGCUUAUUGGUCUGCUCAACACUUGUGGUUUCUUCUCUUCAAGGUAAGUUUGUGUUAUUUUCAUUCUCAAUUGCUUUGUGGAAUGUCUACUUCUUUCAAAUUCACUGUUUUCCCUAAUUUUUUAUGAUCCAUUUAUGUUUGUUUUUCCUUUUAUUUUAACUGAAUGUUAUUCUGCUUUGUGCACUAGUGUAGUUUAGUGAUAUCCUUAAUUAUGUUUCUGAUAUAGUUGCAAAAGGUUCGUAAGUCUUUAACCAAGUCACUGUUAUAAAACUUGUGUUCCAUACUUUUAUCAAAAUACUGUUUGCACCAACAACACCUAGAGUGGCCAAGAACUUUGAAUUUUUAGAGGGAACUGUCAACUGGCAAUCUAAUUCUCAAUAGUCUCAUAAUCGAAAAUGAUAUCUUGAAAGUUAUUUUUCAUUUUACGAUGCCAGAUCAUCUUUGAAGUAAUGCAUUGGUUGUUUCUCUAUCUCAUAGACUCCGAAGUAUUGUGACAAGUGAAUUUUCCACUAUAGUGGAUGGACCAAAUUCAUAGAUCUUCUUGUUCAUCAUAAAUUUUGAUGCUCAUGAUUAUCUGAACUACUUAAUAAGGGAAAACUACUUUAAACCGUUCACUUUCCAGUAGCCAUUAUGAAUAAAAUUAGUCACUCUUGGGUUCUUCCUCUAGGGGAGACUAUUGAUGGUGCUAGCCAACUGCACUUUACUAGUCCAGUUAUCUAAAAAAGUUAAAAUCUUCUCAGGCCCAACUUUCCAUAGAAUAUACUUAGCACAACUUUCCUUGAUCGGUAGCAUUCUUCUCCAAGUGUGAAACUGAUCAGGGCCAUUCUUCCUUGAACAAGGGCGAGCUAUUUGAGUGUCUCUAAGCAAAGAUUUAUUUGUAUUGAAGUUCCACUGUAUUUUAGCUGAGAAAGGACCAAAAAUUUCCUAUAACUAACUGAAUCCUACAAUUCUCAUUAGUAGGAAAACAUAUGUGUCCAUUGCGGGAACAUAGUAAAAAAUCAAUAAGCUAGAAUACAUGUGGAAUGUCGUCACGGCAAGGAUUUACAACAUUACUUUCUUUAAUUUUUUAAGCUGGAAGAUGCUGAUAUGGACUAUUGUGUUCUGCACAUAGAGUAAAAUUGUAUCACCUAGUUACAAAAUUCUUGGACCAGGUAUCUACAUCUAUUAACUUUCCUACUGUGUUUCAAGUAAUCCACUCUUUCAGCUAUCUCUUUAUUAUUUGUACAAAUGUAAUCUCUGUAUUUUUAGUUGUCUCUCUGUAUAUUGUUCAGUUUGUUUCUCUCCAAGUGUGGUAGAUUCUAUCUCCCCAUAUAGCUGUAACUAAUUCCUUUUCAUAUUUUUCGAGCGCCUUCCCUUUAUCCAUAUUAACCUUUGUGUUACCUUCAUCUUUUGUACUCCAAUUCGCUAGUUCUGUCUUCAGUGUUGUUUUUUUAUAACUAUCAUUUGAUUUUCAGUACAUAGUGAAUCGUAUGUUGCCUUCAAAGAAUAUUACCAACUACUUUGUACCCCCAAAUGAGUCUGCCAGGAGAUCAAUCGUUGAUCUGGACAACUCCUACACUCUCCAGUAAGCUGAGUAGUGAGUACAUUUUGAUAGUAGAUCCAAUCGAGUUUCCAUCUUAUUAUCUCUAUAUAGACACACUUGUCAUCUUCUAAUUGUAUUUGUAGUCUAAUCUUCCUUUCUUUUGUUAGAAAUUUCUCUUGAUUAGCCAGCUGCUAGCCAGACAAUAAAUUUGUGUCUAGGUAACAUGAGUAAGUAUCAUACCAAGUCUGCUACAUUUAGUCGCAGCUGCCUACGCAUCAAUUGAUUGUGGCUGCAACUCACAUUAUAUGAUCCAUUGGUAGAUAAAUAAUAGGCCUAAUUAGUAUAUAUACCAGUCUCUCUUAGUUAGUAUUGAUGUUACUUUAUUCUGAUAACUAGCAUUUUUUAUAUUCAAAUCACCAAACUAGUAUCUUUACAAGCACCAACUACAAAGUCAAACAGUUAUCUAACAUACUGAAUAAACUAAGAAACAACUAAGAUCAAGUGAAUACGAGGUACUUAGGGAUCAUUGUAGCUAAAACCCAUGAAACUUUGGAGCAGGGCCUUGUUUACUGGAUUUGCUCUAAUAGAACUUAAAUAGGCAACUUACUGAUACUUGCUGGUAUCGGCCCUUAUGGUGCACCGAUGCUGGUACUAGGACUUAACACCACCUUCUAUGCUCAUAAGAAAUAUGUUUAUGUUAUUUCCUCCUUGUAUAUGUUAUUUCAUCCUUAAAAUAUGGGUCAUGCUUUUACAUUGUUAAUGCUUAUAAAACCCUCUUGAACCUAGUAUUGCAUCUUUCUUGACAAUAUGAAAAUGAUACUUGUGUAAUAUUGUAGGAUAAAUUUGUCAGUGACAACAUGAAUGAUCACAAAAAACAUGUCUUGCAACAUGUGCGAAGGUUGUUAAAUAAUGGGAGAGGAUCACUGCACAAGAAUGUGAAGUCUAAGAUAUUCUGUUAUGCUGUAAAAGAUGUGCCAAAAGAGGUAGACAAGGGUGAUUGGGAAUGACUUGUUAGAGAGCAUUUCUUAAGUGAGUAGUCUAAGGUUGAGAUCCAAAAAGUGAUACAAUCUUAAUUCAUCUCUUACAAAUAUUGAGGUCGUUGAGAUGUGCUUUGGACCUCAACGUAAAAAUAAUGUGGUUGGAUUUGUGGUGGGAUGACAUCGAAGGAGUUGAAAAUUGAAAUGGUGGUAACUCUUCAAAGGCUGCAUUUCUAGAUAAGUUGAAUGUAAGUGAAUUGCAUGGAUGAGUUAGAGAAUAAUAGAGAGUAAAUGUCAACGCGUAAAUGAGCUCGAGAACAAAUAUGAACAGCUUGCAAGUGUAGUGUUUUUUCAGCCUUCAUCAACACCAUCUUUCACUGAUCAAUAUAUUGAACUAGUUAACAGCUCAAGAAUUUGAAUAUGAAAUUUUUAUCAUUCAAGAAAGUAAGGAGCAAGUUGAAGUUUGUGAGGAUUUUAUUAGGGGUAGUUUAAAGACUAUCUUAUGUAUAUAUGUUGCAAGUUUUCUUUUUUGAAUUAGAAGAUUAAAGUUGAUGACAUACAACUUGGAUAUAUAUCUUUGUUUAGUUCUUUUUAUUAAUGAUAAAUUCUUAUAUCAA